rnacentral:rRNA from 1 species
UACGUAGGGUGCGAGCGUUGUCCGGAAUUAUUGGGCGUAAAGAGCUCGUAGGCGGUCUGUCGCGUCGGUCGUGAAAACCCGCGGCUCAACCGUGGGCUUGCAGCCGAUACGGGCAGGCUAGAGUUCGGUAGGGGAGACUGGAAUUCCUGGUGUAGCGGUGAAAUGCGCAGAUAUCAGGAGGAACACCGAUGGCGAAGGCAGGUCUCUGG